rnacentral:misc_RNA from 1 species
UCACCUUAAAAGGAUUAGCUGGACAUGUUGUGAGACUCUUGGUUCUACUUGGCGUAAUAAGUAUUUCGCUGAGGACAUUCCUUCACGGGGAUGGGCCAGGACUCCUAGACAAAAGUCUGCCUUCUAACCUCAUAGUCUUUUUGGGACAUGGCUUUUUAUGAUCUGGCCUCAAAUCAGGUAGGACUACCCGCUGAACUUAA